ACGGGGUAGGAAUACGUAGGUAACGUACCCUCGGGGCGAGGACAGCCACGGGAAACUGUGGGUAAUACUCGAUAAACUUCCCAAUCAUUAUCGGAGGGGAAGCAAUGGGUGUGAUUCCACCUGAGGAGCGGCUUACGCAGUAUCAGCUAGUUGGUGAGGUAACGGCUCACCAAGGCUACGACGCUUAGGGGGUGUGAGAACAUGGCCCCCACCACUGGCACUGAGACACUGGCCAGACACCUACGGGUGGCUGCAGUCGAGAAUCUUCGGCAAUGGACGCAAGUCUGACCGAGCGACGCCGCGUGUGGGAUGAAGGUCUUCGGAUUGUAAACCACUGUCAGAGGGGAUGAAGUAUACGAGAGUUAUCUCUUGUAUUUGACAGAGCCUCAGAGGAAGCACGGGCUAAGUUCGUGCCAGCAGCCGCGGUAAUACGAACUGUGCGAACGUUAUUCGGAAUCACUGGGCUUAAAGGGUGCGUAGGCGGUUAUCUAAGUCAGGUGUGAAAUCUCUCGGCUCAACCGGGAAACUGCGCUUGAAACUGGGUGACUGGAGUGAUGCAGGGGUGUGUGGAACUUCCGGUGGAGCGGUGAAAUGUG
rnacentral:rRNA from 1 species